GACGAACGCUGGCGGCGUGCUUAACACAUGCAAGUCGAACGCUGAAGCUCAGCUUUUGUUGGGUGGAUGAGUGGCGAACGGGUGAGUAACACGUGAGUAACCUGCCUCCUUCUUUGGGAUAACGCCCGGAAACGGGUGCUAAUACUGGAUAUUCACUGGUCUUCGCAUGGGGGUAGGUGGAAAGGGUUUUUCUGGUGGGGGAUGGGCUCGCGGCCUAUCAGCUUGUUGGUGGGGUGAUGGCCUACCAAGGCUUUGACGGGUAGCCGGCCUGAGAGGGUGACCGGUCACAUUGGGACUGAGAUACGGCCCAGACUCCUACGGGAGGCAGCAGUGGGGAAUAUUGCACAAUGGGCGCAAGCCUGAUGCAGCGACGCCGCGUGAGGGAUGGAGGCCUUCGGGUUGUGAACCUCUUUCGCUCAUGGUCAAGCCGCAACAAUGGUUGUGGUGAGGGUAGUGGGUAAAGAAGCGCCGGCUAACUACGUG
rnacentral:rRNA from 1 species